UGUUAACAAUGGCUCAGUAGGUAGAGCAUGAGACUCUUAAUCUCAGGGUUGUGGGUUUGAGCCCCAUGUUGGGCAA